rnacentral:rRNA from 1 species
UACGUAGGGUGCGAGCGUUGCCCGGAUUUAUUGGGCAUAAAGGGCGCGUAGGCGGUCACGCACGUCCGUUGUGAAAUCGCUCGGCUCAACUGGGCGGGGUCAGCGGAUACGGCGUGGCUGGAGCAAGCUAGGGGGCAAUGGAAUUCCCGGUGUAGUGGUGGAAUGCGUAGAUAUCGGGAGGAACACCAGUGGCGAAGGCGGUUGCCUGGAGCUUUGCUGACGCUGAUGCGCGAAAGCGUGGGGAGCGAUCCGG